AACGAACGCUGGCGGCAUGCCUAACACAUGCAAGUCGAACGCUCCGCAAGGAGAGUGGCGCACGGGUGAGUAACACGUGGGAAUCUGCCUAUUGGUUCGGAACAACGUCUGGAAACGGACGCUAAUACCGGAUAAGCCCCGAGGGGGAAAGAUUUAUCGCCGAUAGAGGAGCCCGCGUCCGAUUAGGUAGUUGGUGGGGUAAAGGCCUACCAAGCCGACGAUCGGUAGCUGGUCUGAGAAGAUGAUCAGCCACACUGGGACUGAGACACGGCCCAGACUCCUACGGGAGGCAGCAGUGGGGAAUAUUGGACAAUGGGGGCAACCCUGAUCCAGCAAUGCCGCGUGAGUGAUGAAGGCCUUAGGGUUGUAAAGCUCUUUCGCACGUGACGAUGAUGACGGUAACGCGAGAGGAAGCCCCGGCUAACUUCGUGCCAGCAGCCGCGGUAAUACGAAGGGGGCUAGCGUUGUUCGGAAUUACUGGGCGUAAAGGGCGCGUAGGC
rnacentral:rRNA from 1 species